GUCAUCGUAUAUCAGUGGUAGAUUCCCUUCACGCUGUGUGGCGAUAGUACCGGGAAGUCUGCACGAAGGAGGCGUAGGUUCGAUUCCUACCGAUGGUU